rnacentral:rRNA from 1 species
AGCAGCCGCGGUAAUUCCAGCUCCAAUAGCGUAUAUUAAAGUUGUUGCAGUUAAAAAGCUCGUAGUUGAAUUUCGGGAUCAGUACGCCGGUCGUGCCUUCGGUAUGUACUGGUGUCACUGAUUCCUCCCUUCUGACGAACCGUUAUGCCAUUUAUUUGGUGUGGCGGGGAAUCAGGACUGUUACUUUGAAAAAAUUAGAGUGUUUAAAGCAGGCUCGCGCUUGAAUACAUUAGCAUGGAAUAAUGAAAUAGGACGUUUGAUUCUAUUUUGUUGGUUUCUAGGAUCGACGUAAUGAUUAAUAGGGAUAGUUGGGGGCAUUAGUAUUCAAUUGUCAGAGGUGAAAUUCUUGGAUUUAUUGAAGACUAACUACUGCGAAAGCAUUUGCCAAGGAUGUUUUCAUUAAUCAAGAACGAAAGUUAGGGGAUCGAAGACGAUCAGAUACCGUCGUAGUCUUAACCAUAAACUAUGCCGACUAGGGAUCGGAUGAUGUUAAUUUUUUAAUGACUCA